GAUGAAGAACGUAGCGAAAUGCGAUAAGUAAUGUGAAUUGCAGAAUUCAGUGGAUCAUCGAAUCUUUGAACGCACCUUGCACCCUUUGGUAUUCCGAAGGGUAUGCUCGUUUGAGUGUCAUUGUACUCUCACACUUCUAAUUCCUUUCGGGAUUGGGAGCGGUGGACUUGGGUGUUGCUGCUUUAGUUGUGGCUCACCUCAAAUAAGUUAGUGCAACUCUUGGUUGGACAUAGUACGGCGUGAUAAGUGUCUUCGCCGGCGCCUCUGUAAGGAGGGUGGCCGAUCGGGAGCUCUGUGCUUCAAACCGUCUUCGGACAAUCUUUGACAACUUGACCUCAAAUCGAGUAGGACUACCCGCUGAACUUAAGCAUAUCAAUAAGCGGAGGA
rnacentral:misc_RNA from 1 species